CCUACGGGGGGCAGCAGUGGGGAAUAUUGCACAAUGGGGGAAACCCUGAUGCAGCGACGCCGCGUGAGCGAAGAAGUAUUUCGGUAUGUAAAGCUCUAUCAGCAGGGAAGAAAAUGACGGUACCUGACUAAGAAGCUCCGGCUAAAUACGUGCCAGCAGCCGCGGUAAUACGUAUGGAGCAAGCGUUAUCCGGAUUUACUGGGUGUAAAGGGAGCGUAGGCGGUAAGGCAAGUCUGAUGUGAAAGGCCAGGGCUCAACCCUGGGACUGCAUUGGAAACUGUUUAACUGGAGUGUCGGAGAGGCAAGUGGAAUUCCUAGUGUAGCGGUGAAAUGCGUAGAUAUUAGGAGGAACACCAGUGGCGAAGGCGGCUUGCUGGACGAUGACUGACGCUGAGGCUCGAAAGCGUGGGGAGCAAACAGGAUUAGAUACCCCGGUAG
rnacentral:rRNA from 1 species